GUAGGUGGCAAGCGUUGUCCGGAAUUAUUGGGCGUAAAGCGCGCGCAGGCGGUCCUUUAAGUCUGAUGUGAAAGCCCACGGCUCAACCGUGGAGGGUCAUUGGAAACUGGGGGACUUGAGUACAGAAGAGGAAAGCGGAAUUCCAAGUGUAGCGGUGAAAUGCGUAGAGAUUUGGAGGAACACCAGUGGCGAAGGCGGCUUUCUGGUCUGUAACUGACGCUGAGGCGCGAAAGCGUGGGGAGCAAACAGGGAUUAGAUACCCUGGUAGUCCACGCCGUAAACGAUGAGUGCUAAGUGUUAGGGGGUUUCCCGCCCCUUAGUGCUGCAGCUAACGCAUUAAGCACUCCGCCUGGGGAGUACGCCGCAAGGCUG
rnacentral:rRNA from 1 species